UACGUAGGGUGCAAGCGUUGUCCGGAAUUAUUGGGCGUAAAGAGCUCGUAGGCGGUUUGUCGCGUCUGCUGUGAAAACUCAGGGCUUAACCCUGAGCCUGCAGUGGGUACGGGCAGACUAGAGUGUGGUAGGGGAGAUCGGAAUUCCUGGUGUAGCGGUGGAAUGCGUAGAUAUCUGGAGGAACACCGGUGGCGAAGGCGGCAUCCUGGACCGGCAUUGACGCGCU
rnacentral:rRNA from 1 species